CUUAAUUUUAAUACGAGUGAUCGUCCACUCCUGGAAUGUUUCUAUUACCUUACUUGGGUACAUUGUACCUGUUUUAUUUCAUUGAAAACUUGAUGUGCUGUUGAACUGAUUUAACGCGACCUUGGGUUCUAUUGAACCCUAAUUUUACAACUAAGGUCAUCGACAGAAUACGUUAUAUACUAAAUAAAAAAAUAUAAAAUACGGUUAACUAAAACCAAUUUACGAUUUAUCAUUAGACCGUUUCUAAUUUUUUAUUUUACAUAUUUGAAGUGCAGGCAUUUAGUUAGCUAAAGGACCUUAAACAUAAUUAUACUUUGAAACCACACUCCCAAAUUUCUAAUUAAUGGUCAGGAAAUUUAAGAAAGGUCAUUGUCUCGCUUCAUUGUCUAGUAAUUCUUAUUUUUUGUUAGACGAUCGACAUUCCUUUGUCGUUCAAAAAUUCGUAAAAAGGUAUAGGUACCUAUUAAUACAGUGUGUCACAAAAAAGGCGCCCUCUCAAAAUCAUCUACCGUCAUAUUCAGAAUUAAAUUUAAGAAUAGCUUGUUUGAUAUUAAAUAAGAUUCCAAGAUCAUUAUAAUUAUAGUCAGAUUGGAAUUUUAUUUACUCGAUUGGACCAUUACUAUUCUAUUUUUAAAAUUGUUUCAACCUAAAGCCAAGUAAACAGCAAAGGAGUUAAUAAAGUAAUGCUGAGGUAUAUUGAAAACAAUUUGUAAAAAACAAUUUCUGAUCUUGCAUUUACAAUUUUAUCUACCAUAAAAUCAUCAUUCUAUGCAUCGGGCUGUAAAUGUACACAAUUAUGCAGUGCAGGCGCAACUAGUUUUCAAUAAAAUAAAAAUCAAACACGUUUUCAAGCUAGCCUAUGUAGUUCAAUAGUCCCAUUAGAAUGUCGACUACAUUUUUUUGCAGAAUAAACGAACCAAUAAAAUUCAUUCUGUAUUUAUUGUAUUUUUUACGAAGGUUAUCAUUUUAACUACCUAUAAUACAGCAGAUUAGAAAUUCAAAAACACUGAUAAAAUAUCAAUCCUGAUUGGUUUUUUUUCUUAUAUUUAUGUAGAGUUCAUAUUUCUGAUAAGUGCAGUAGUAAGUGUAGCACAACAAAAGAGUGCAUUUGUAUUUAUAGAUGCAGAGAACAAUCACUUUUUGUUUAUCUUCAUAUUAUAAGCGUAGAACAUGUCUAUUUAUACUACCAACACGUAUGUAAAUAUAUGUGUCUGUAUGCCUGCAAUAUAAUAUGGAAUCGAAUUACAGAAAGUAAAUGAUACAACGGUAAACGCGGAGGGAAUGUGACACCCUGUAUAUAACAUGUAUGUAUAAAUAUAUUACGUGAUCAAAAGUGGGGUUGCAAUGGCGCUAAGAUAAGGUCAUCAACCUCAAGCUUCACGUCUUUGACAUUGAAUCGAUAAUCUAACACUUAUGUAUAACACGUUAAUUAUUACUAUAAUUAAAUUAAACCAUUUCAAUAAUGACUGAUCCCGUAUAAUAAGGCUGUUUAUUAUAAAAAUAAUAUUGUAUAAGAAAACAAAACAUAAAAGGGCUCUGUUAGUUUUC